UACAAGGCUCAGAAAACACCAAAAAAAAAGCAUCAGAGGGGGGAAAUGUAGGAGGCAGAGUAAGAAGACUGUGUAACACAAAGACAUCGUUUGAACAUGACAUGUAACACCCAUAAACUCACGGUAGCUGUGGUUAGCAGCACAGGAUUGGACACACAGCAUGGCUACAGGCAGACCUGUGAGAAUCUACCUGUCCCUGGGGAUCCAUUGGCAGUUAACGGUCUCUGAGGAAGGGAGUAUCAUUUUCUUCAGUGAUACAGCCCCUGGUAUGUUACUCUUGCUCCAGUAAGUAACCUCCUACCCAAUCUUGUGCAAGAAACCUAAUUAAACUCAGUGGGUCUCACACAAGAAGGAAGGCAUGAAGGUAGGAGGGAGAACUCUUUGGACAAAAUGUUCCAGCAGGAAAGGGAGGAUAAGAAAGGGAAUGGAGAGUACAAAUAACUUCAAUUCAUUAGAUAGAUAGAUAGAUAGAUAGAUAGAUAGAUAGAUAGAUAGAUAGGUAGGUAGGUAGGUAGGUAGGUAGGUAGGUAGGUAGGUAGGUAGGUAGNNNNNNNNNNUGUAGGUAGGUAGGUAGAUAGAUAGAUCUCUUAGAAAGUACUGUCAAAAUUUUAAUGGGAAAAAAAACAGUAGAUUGUCAGACAAGAAAACAGCUAAGAGAGGAAGAGAGUUAAACACCCAGGCCUGUUUUGGUGGCAUGUUUGGUGAGGUUGUAGAACCUUUAAGAGGCACUUUUCUAGGAGAACUAUAUUCUGGGGGCAGGUGUUAAGGGUUCAUAGCCUGGUUUCCACUUCCAGUCUUGGAUCACUGCUUGGGUUAAGAGUUGGAUAUACUAUCUCUCACACUUCUGGCCUGAUGGCUUGCAGCCAUGCAUUCCCCUAAUGCUUGUAGACUCCCCCUCUGGAACACCCUAAGCCGAAAGAAACUCCUUUGCUGCCCUGGUGUUUAUAGUAGCAACAGAAAAGUGGCUUACGUAAGUUUCCAGAGAACAUACAAGAAUGACAAUGGCAGUUUCAGUCAAGACUGCUCACUUGGAAUAUAUUUGCCCAUCCUUUGUCCUGUUUGCCUACAAUGGCAUCUGCCCAUUCUGAGAACUGUUCCCUCAGGACCACGUGUCUCUGAAACCUGGGCCCCUCUUCCAUCCUACCAUUCCCAAGUCUAGAAACAAGAGAUGACCUGAGCCUGCACAUUUAUCUUCUCCAGCCUCCAAGACUGGGACCCUCGAAUACAAGAACAACUUAGGACAGCUUGGCUCAUAUUUAAGGAAGUCAGGACACGGUGAAUAUGAAUCCGUACAUGCAAUUUAUCAUGCCUGAUGCGGAGCAAGGAAACAAGAAUAAAACAAUCCAGGCUGCAGUGGCCA
rnacentral:lncRNA from 1 species